rnacentral:rRNA from 1 species
GACGAACGCUGGCGGCGUGCUUAACACAUGCAAGUCGAACGGAAAGGCCCUGCUUUUUUGGGGUGCUCGAGUGGCGAACGGGUGAGUAACACGUGAGUAACCUGCCCUUGACUUUGGGAUAACUUCAGGAAACUGGGGCUAAUACCGGAUAGGAGCGCCUGCUGCAUGGUGGGGGUUGGAAAGUUUCGGCUGUUGUGGAUUGACUCGCGGCUUAUCAGCUUGUUGGUGGGGUAGUGGCUUACCAAGGCUUUGACGGGUAGCCGGCCUGAGAGGGUGACCGGCGACAUUGGGACUGAGGUACGGCCCAGACUCCUACGUGAGGCAGCAGUGGGGAGUCUUGCACAGUGGGCGGGAGCCUGAUGCAGCAACGCAGCGUGCGGGAUGACGGCUUUGGGGUUGUAAACCGCUUUAGCCUGAGACGAAGCGUGAGUGACGGUAAUGGGUAAAGAAGCACCGGCUAACUACGUG